AAGCCCAGCAAGCUUGGAGUAGCCAGAAGCCACAGCAUUGAUUCCACCACCCAGCGUCUCAAAGUCAUGUCUCUGGAACCACUUCACCAUACCUGCGCCACAGAUGGCACCCAGGCACUGCAUGAUCAUGUAGAACACGGCUCGGGUUAGGGACAGCUUUCUUGCCAAGAGCAGCCCAAAUGUCACCGCUGGGUUUAUGUGCCCUCCUGCCCAAACCCAUCAACAAAUGAUAAGAUCAACACAGAGGAAACUUUCUCUAGAAAACUGUGUGGAGGCUAUGGGGAAAGAGGUAAGAAAGUAGACAGAGAAAAAAAUGUGCUGCAGGGAGCCGUAUUAUGAAAAAAAAAAAAAAAAGUGUUUGGUUGAUAAGAAACGUAGGGAAAGAAUGAGAAUAAAAAUUUGACCAAAUUGUACGUUAAUUAGGACCUGAAAACACUCAAAUGUUCUCUACUUUUAUUUUCCUCCUCUUUCUCAUCAACCAAACAAGGUCUUUCAAAAUUUCAGAAAACCCCAUCAAAACCAUUCCAUAAUAUCAUGGAAAAAAAAAACCCAGGAAUGCCAGAUACCCAUUUAAAAUCUGAACAUAUCUACCGGCAAAAGCUGAUGAAAACGUCAAAAGAAACUACGGAUCAAACCUUCUGAGCAUAUCAAACCACCAUGGAAAAUAAAAAAGAAAACAAAGGAAAAGCAGAACUCAGCAGAUCAAACAAAAGAAUAGCAAGAGAGAGAGAAAGACAGAACAGACCUGAGAUACCAGCAGUGCAGUAGACAAGAACGAAGAUCAUACCCCCACAAGCCCAAGCAAUACCCUGAAAACCAACAGUAGCACACUUGUUGGGGGACUUGACAACACCGAUAAUAGUCGAGAUGAUGAUGUAGAGAAAGAUGAAGGUGGCCAUGAACUCGGCAAUCCCAGCUCUCCAAAACGACCAUGAAUGAAGCUCACCAGGGUCAAACAGUGGAGCUGGUGGAGGCUCCCUAUAGUCCUUGUCUGUCUGUGCUGAUGUCCCUAUCGGUUGCCUCUCUGCAAACUUGUUGGCCCCCAACCUCACAUCCUCUUCCUUCCCCUCCAUUUUUCUGAGCUCAGUGAUGAAGAUGAUGAACUUCCUGAGCAAAUUGCAGUUGGGUUUGGAGUGAUUUAUAGAGGAAGCAAAGUAAGAGAAAAUAAUAGAAAACAAAUUGUCAAAUGGGGUCCUUCGGAGAAACGUUUGGUUCCGUUCCCAUGUGAAAUGACUAUAUUGCCCUUCUAAUUCACUUUUUAUCUCACUCGUACUAUUAGUAUUAGAUCAUUUUAAUUAAAAGAUAUUUGCUUAAAAGGGGCAGCCUUGCCUUUGCCCUGACUCUAAACAUAAGGAAAUUCCCAGAUUUUCACUCAAGCUCCUAAAUCAUUGAAGCUUUAAGCCGGGAAUUCUUUCAUAGGCUACGGGAAGAACUACAUCUCGUAAGUCAGUGGGGCGGAGGAAAAGAACGUUGGAUUGGGGAAGUAACGAGAAGGAAGAGUCUAUAAAAGAGAGAGUAUGAGUGCACCCAAAGCAAGAGGGGAAAAAGAUAACCUUUGUCUUUUCAAAACAAAAAUGAUUCUUUUUAAGCUAAAUUCCUCACGAUAAAAGAAUUCUCAAACUGUUUGUUUUUCGAAUUUUCAUCAGAAAGUUCAUACAUUUAAUAAAGUAAGUUUUUUUUUUUUAGCUUUUAUGAGAAAAUGCAGAAAAAGAUGAGUGGUUAAUACCUUAACAUUUUAUUAACCAUAAAUUUAAGGGUUGUUGAAUUUUCAUCGGACCUUGUUUGCAUAUAAAAUUUGGGUUGUCUUGUUGAAAUCGAUAAUACUUGUUUUUUGUUUACUUAUUUUUAAAAUAUUGUUUUUAUCAACUCAACCAAAGAGCAUAUAAUUGUCUUGUUGAAAUCGACAUUGCUUAUUUUUUGUUUUAUUUAUUCUAAAAAUAUUGCUUUUAUCUAUUCAACCAAACAUAUCUUUUUUGUUUUUAGGACAAAAAUUGCUAUUUAGAAUUCAAUUCCCAAAUGCAUUUUUUUUCUUCUAAAAACACCAAAAACUGAUUUUAAAAACUUUUUUCAAUUGGGAUUGUUUUCAAAAACAUUUCCCAAACAAGCCAUAAAAUUAGAAUUGUUUUCUUUUGAAAAUCAAGAAAAAUAAAUAAAUAAUAUAAAAGUAGACUUUCUAUAGAAUAAAAAAUAAAUCUAUCUAAAAGGUACGUUCAAAUGCCAAUUUCAAACAACCAAAAAAAAAAGGGUAAAGUUUUCCUUUCUUAUUGUUGGACUAAAACAACUAUACAUGCCUAAUUUUAUAAAAUAUUAAAAUUAUAAACUAUUUAAAAAUUAUAAAUUCAGUAAAAUUCUUAUUUAGGUUAUAAAAAAGUUAUUUAUCAUCUUAAAAAUCAAUUCAAAUAGCAUUUAAAAAAUAACCAAGAAAAAUAAUUGAAUUUUUUUUUUAAAAAAAUUAGGAUUUAUUAGUCAUAGUCUCUUGACACAAGUCUUCCUCUAUACUUUAAUAUUAUGUAUUUAUGUAUAAUAAUGGAGUUUUAUUCUUCAAAUUUUUAAUUAUUUCAAUAUAAUAUUUAAAAAAUAUGUUAAAAUACUUUAAAUUAAAAAAAAAAACCAUUUCAAUUAAUUUUUUUAGACAUGCUUUUAGAAUUAGAAAACCUAUCAUCGUUCCAAAGAACAGCAUCCAAACAUGUCCUAGGCUCCUAGCAUUAGUUUUUUGAAAUUUGGAAAGAAAAAAACAAAAGGAUAUUUAAUGCGCAAUAAAUUAAAGAAUGGUCGUCGAUAAGAAACUAAUGCGAGGGAUGCGUCGCAAAUGGCAGGCCAAUAAAUUCCACACCUAAUAUUGUACAAACAGCGCGUUAUCACCGGGCAUUCCAGUGUGUGGCACCCCCACCAAAGUUGGACGUGAAUGAGAUAAGAAUCAUCAGAUGUCAUGAUCUUCAUCUUGCGAUUAGUCAUCGCAUUUGUAGCUCUGAUUUGGUAGGCCAUGGGUUUGCCAUACACAUUACACACUAUCGUAUUGUACUAUAUUCAUUGAAGAAGACUGAGCUGUAAUGUUUGGUGGGCCCACAGCAUGUUCUGGAUCGCAUUUUCAAUGCUUGUCCCAAAACUCGAAGACUUUAAUAUGAUUUCCAAAUUGGAGUAAAACGACUGUGUUUUGAUUCCUUUGCUCACAACCCAAAAUGAAUUCUUUGGUAGCGAGGUUGGAGCCCAAAGCUCAUUAUUAUUAAAAAGUAUUUUUGAAAAAAAAAAUAUUUGAUAAAAUUUGUGAAAUAUUUUUAAUUUUUUUAAAAUUAAUUAUACUAUUAAAAAAUCAUUUAUAGUGUGUUUUGAAAAACACGAAAAUUUUCCUAAAAAUAUUUUUAGAUAAAAUACUUUUAUUAAAAACAUUUAAAGUCAAACACAAUCUUAAAUGGAGUUAUAAGUUAUUUUUAAAUUUUAAUGGAAUUUUCUAAAAGUAUUUGAGUAAUUUUGUCCAAAUAGCUUCUUAGUUAUAAAAAAAAAAGAAAAAAAAAUCUUUAAAUGAUGUAGGGAAUGUUUGAUAAAAUUUAAUAUUUAUUAUUUAAUGACUUAAAUUGACUUUAAGUUAAAUUAUAUUUAAAUUAUUGAUUUUAAAAUUAUUAAUUAAUUAUUUAAUAAAAUAAAUUUAAAAUUUAUUUUAAAUUAUAAAAUUUUAUAUUUAUCCUCAUAAAUUACACUUAAUUAAAAAAAGUUAAAUAACGAUAAAAGUCAUAAAUAAUAAAAAUGAUCAUGAAUAACAAAUAAGUUAAUUAUUUUACUUAUUAUUUAAAGUUAUUUUUUACUUUAAAUUAUACCAUUAAAUUAUUUUACUAAACAUACUUAAUUUACUUAAUAAUUUAAAUUAAAUUAUUAAAUUGAUUUUUCAAACAAUACCGCCUAAUUUAAUUAAAAAACCAUAUUUUUUAAAUAUUAAUAUAUUAACAUAGUAUAAGCUUUAUUAAAAUAAAAUAACAACUUAUAUAAGUCAAAUUUUAACUUAUACAAAUCAAAGAUUUGUUUGACAAAACUAGUUAGACACGUAUUAAAAAUUCAUACUAAACUUAAAAAAUAAUUUACAAAUUAGUAUGGAAAUUAGAAUAAUAUGAUUUUUAGUACAAAUUAUUUUUUAACUUGUAUGAAGAGCUAUUUUAUAUUUAAAUAAUUGAACAUUCUCUAAUUGAAGCAAUAAAAAUAAAUAAAUAAAUAAUAAUAAAUAAUAAAUCAUUUAUAAAAAAGAAAAAGAAAAAUAUUUUUAUCAAAUAUUGAUUAUUUUUUAAAUUAAAAAUUGUGGUCAAUUAAGGCCCUGCAAAUGAUCCAAAUCACCAUUAAAAUCAAUCUGCGAGAGAAGAAGAAGACAUUAAAGAUGGAAGCUUCCUUUUCAUUCAAAAGCUGCCCAUUGUAAUAGAAGCAGCCCAGAUAACUUACACACAUAAUAACCAGCCCCACCUCUAUUCUGAGCUCAACCCAGAUUCAGGAGGAGGAAGAUGAACAAGAAGAAGAAGAUAGAAGCAGCAAAUAAAAGAAGAAACAGAAAAUGGAGGAAUUUCUCAGGCUCUGGUCUUGAAUGGGAUGGCUCUGAUUACUAUCUGGUGGUACAAGGCAGCAAGAGCAGCUCCAAUGAAGGGUCCAACCCAGAAAAUCCACUGAAGGGAACAACAAAAGAAUGAAAUCAAUACAAGGCAGAUUCACAGAUAAAUGAUGAGAUGAGAAGUGAUUGGGUCUGAUCAUGGAGCUUACCAUGUCAUCCCAGGCAUGCUCUCUGUUGUAGAUGAUGGCGGCCCCCAGACUCCUAGCAGGGUUGAUGCCGGUUCCGGUGAUGGGGAUGGUUGCCAGAUGAACCAAGAACACUGCAAACCCAAUGGGGAGAGGAGCCAAAAUCUGCAGUUCAACGCAGGAAAAAUAAAGGGCGUGUUAUUUUCAGAUCCCAUUUGCAAUAAUAAAUACCAUCAGGAAUGGUUGAAAAAUGAGAGGAAAAUGGGUAUCGAUGUUAAGGAAACAUAUUUUUAGUCAUUGAUCUCAAAAGGCAUUACAUGACUUUCCACCAGCUCCCAGACCCAGAAACCAUAUAGUUUUAUAGAAUUGUUUUUGAAAUAUGAAAAAUAGUUUUCUCCUAUUGCUGUCUGUGAAAGUAGUGUGCCCUACUGAUAUAUGAUGCUUUAGUUUCUAAAAUGUUUUCAGAACAAAUCAUGAAAAAACUGUUUCCUGUCAAAAACAUGUGUAGGAAGUAAAUUAGAAAACUAUUUUCCAUCAAAACCGUUUUGAAGAACAUGUAAACCAAACAAACCCAUGGUUCCCCACCACCAAACUUUUCAUAGAACAACCUCACUGUAGCGCCUCAAGACUGCCAUGUAAAGAUUUUGGGCUCAAAACAACUUAAAACUUCAUAUAAAUUGUUCAUCUUGUCGUGAGCUCACAUUGAAUAAUGCAUAUUGCCCUCACCAUACGAUCGAUCGUCAUGAAAAAACAUUUUAACCAAGCACAUGUUGGUACCAAAAUCAUGUGGCAAGUCCUCACUUUAAAUGUCAGGACUGAAAAGGCAACACACAAGCAUACUCAGAAAAUUUCUCACCUAGAAGUAAAAGUAAACCAAAAAAUGAUUUUAAACUUUCUGAUUUGUUGUAAAGUAUAAAAGAAAUCUUUAUCUAAAAGGUCUCAAGGUUAAUCUAAAUCUAAGAUGUCACCAACUAAUUUAUCAGUAGACAAGGGAAUUUCUCUUAAACAAAUCAGAUAGUCCAAAAUCAUUUUUCUAUAAACUUUUACUCUAAUAAACCCCAAAGAUAAAGUGAUGAAGUUCUCAAUCAAGAUGAUAUCCACACCUAGUCCAUUUUACAAAUUACAACUAGAGACAAGAAAAUAUUUGGCACCAAUUGUACUCAUGAUCCAAUGAUAAUAAAUUUCGAUUGAAUUCUACAUUUUGGUAGUUUCCAAAGAACAUAAAAAUUG
rnacentral:lncRNA from 1 species